ensembl:lncRNA
GGGAGAGGAGUGGGUGUGCUUCCAAGCCGUGCGCCUUCAUCAACUUUCCUCUGGCUUAAUAUCAUGAAUGCUGUAUGCUUUGGGAGCUUCUCAAACAUUAUGAGAAUCAGCCACACAAACUUUCCAAGCCUUCAAAUCAAUGCUGCCUUCACCUUAGUAGGUAUGAAGACCAUCUAAAGAACCUGAAGGUGCACAAAUCCAUAGGACCCAACAAGAACUAUCCAUGAGUUAUGAGGGAAGUGGCUGAAGAUGCCAAGCUGCUAUUCAUCAUAUUUGAAAGGUCAUGGCAGUCUAGUGAAGUUCCCACCAACUGGAAAAGGGGAAACAUAAUCCCCAUUUUCAAGAAGGAAAAAAAGAAGAUCCAGGGAGCUAGAGGCCAGUCAGUCUCACCACUGUGCCUGGCAAGAUCAUGAAACAGAUCCUCCUGAAGGCUCUACUAAGGCACAUGGGAAAUAAAGACAAGGUGACUCGUGGUAACCAACGUGACUUCACCAAGGAUAAGUCAUGCCUGACAGACAUGGUGGCCUUUUAUGAUGGAGUUACAGCAUCAAUGUAUAAAGGAAAAGUAAAUGAUGUCAUCUACCUGGACUUGUGCAAAGCAUUUGACACUGUCCCACACAACAUCCUGGUCAUCAAAUUGGAAGAAAAUAAAUUUGAUGGAUGGACUACUCACUGAAUAAGGGAUUGGCUGGAUGGUUGCACUCAGAAAGUUGUGGUCAAUAGCUCAGUUUCCAAGCGGAGAUUGAUGAUGAGAUGAGUGGCGUUCCUCAGGGAUUGGUGUUGGGAUUGGUAUUAUAUAAUAUCUUUGUAGGCAACAUGGACAGUUGGAUUGCACCCUCAGCAAGUUUGCAGGUGACAUCAAGCUGAGUUGUAUAGUUAACACGCUAGAGGGAAGGAAUGCCAUUCAGAGGGACCUGGACAGGCUUGAGAGGUGGGCCCAUGCCAACCUCAUGAAGUUCAAAGAGGUGAAGUCCUACACCUGGGUCAAGGCACUCUCAAGCACAGAUACAGGUUGGGUGGAAAAUGGCUUGAGAGCAGCCCUGAAAAGAAGGAUUUGACUGUGUGAUUGAUGAAAGAUUCAACAAGAGCUGGCAAUGUGCACUUCCAGCCCAGAAGGCCAACUGUAUCCUGGGUUGCAUCAAGAAAAGUAUGACCUGGAAGUCAAAGGAGGUGAUUCUGACGCUCUACUCUGUGGAAAGACCUCACCUAGAGUACUGCAUCUGGUUCUGGAGCUCCCAGCACAAGAAGGACAUGGAGUUCUUUGAGCAGGUUCAGAGGAGGGCCACGAAGAUGAUCAGAGGGCUGGAGCACCUCCUCUACGCUCCAUAGCCUGGAGAAGAGAAGGCUCUGAAGAAGAUUUUGUAGCAGCCUUCCAGUACUUGAAAGGGGCCUACAGGAAAGCUGGGGAGGGACUUUUUAGAAGGGCCAGUAGCAUCAGGAAAAGUGGAAAUAGUUUUAAGCUGGAAGGGUGUGGAUUUAGACUAGAUAUUAGGAAGAAAUUAUUUACUGUGAGGGUGGUGAAGUGCUGGAACAGGUUGCCCAGUGAGGUUGUGAAUGCCCUCUCCUUAGAAACAUUCAAGGUCAGGUUGAAUGGGACUUCAAGCAACCUGGUCCAGACAGAGGUGUCCCUGCCUAUAGCAAGUGUGUUGGAACUAGGUGAUACUAAAGGUCCCUUCCAACCCAAAUCAUUCUAUGAUUCUAUGAUUAAAGCCUAUGAAUUUUAAACUGGAAUUUGGAAUCCUGCCAUUAAAUAAUCUUAAACAAGAUGGUAUGCUAUUUGUUGAAUCAAUGGAGUUUUAAUGUCAGUAGCAUUCUUCUUGUGAAAUAUCUUUGUUUUGUUGCUCUGAGCAGAAAUCAGUUCAAUCUGAAAUUAAGAUGGGAGGAAGCAAAAACCAAAAAAGAGCAUUCUGGUGUAUUUCUUGAUAAUCUACUGUCAAUUACCACUGGUUUUACAUAAAUUAGUGUGUGAAUUGUUAUGCCAGUGCAAAUGUCACAAAGAUGAAAACCAUCAGUUCUCCUUCAUCCUUUUUGUGAAAUAAUUUGUGACCCUCAAUCUCUCCUCCCAGAGGUGUGACCUAUUUCUCUUGUUACUGCAAGGCAGAUUGUCAGUGCCAGUUUUCCAGAGACAGAAGAGGUUCUAUGCACAGUCAGUGUAAAGGGCUGUGCAAAGGAUCCCCCAUUUAACAGUGUAAACUUGUCAGGAAGAAAAGAAGUGGGUACAGGUAACUUAACACCUGAAUUUUGAGCAAUGACUUGUGUAUCCAAAUUGUAUUGGUAACCCUUUCUAUGCAAUUUCCAGGUGCUUAAGGAUGCCCUCGGUA